AUCUACUUCUCAGAAAAAGGCCACAGCUUCCUUCUAAAGAAUAUAACCUCCCUAAACUGUGAUGGAUUUCUUCAGCAUGAAAAGUAUGAAGGCAGCUUACCUUGGUCUCAUAACAUUUCUGUUAGGAUGUAUUGGAAUAAAGUAUGGAAUCUCCAAUACCAAUCCUUUCCAUGAUUCAACUCUUUCUCUUCUCGUCAGUGCUGUGUGUUCCCAUCUUAUUGCAUCCGCAGCUGACAUGGGCAAUCCAAACACCAUCAUUAUAUUUUAUUUGUCAGGGAUAGUUGCAUGUGAAACACUACUGUGGAUUCUCAUUGCUCAGCUUUCUUGGUUCUCUUUGGUUAACUUCCUUGUUUUACUAAUAGUCAAAUUCUUGUUCUCUCACUUCCUCACUCAGCUGCUCCUUCCCUAUUUCAACUGCAUCACUCAGUUGCUCUCCGGAACACCUCCAAAUGCUUCUGACAUGCCAAAUUCAGAACAGCAACGGCAGGACUCCCAGGUAUUGAGGCACAACAACUACUAGUUUUACACCUGUUGGAUUGUCAAAUACGAUUUGUCCCUUUGUUUUGGCCUCAACUGUUUUACAUCACCCUAUCAUCAUCAGUAGGUCUUGUCUGGUUUCAUGGAAUUGUUUGAAUGACAAAGAAGGAAUGAUACCAUUGCCACCUCUGCUUAUCAGUCAUGCAUCCAUGUUGCUCUCUGCAGCUUAACAGUCGCUUUUCUUCGUCCUUGGAGAUUGCAACGAAUCGCAUGACAUCUAUUCUUUCAAUGACACGGAGGACUAUUGCCAUUUCUCCCAAUAUCCUUUCACUGCAUUUUUCUUUUCUUCUUUAUUUGUUUCCUCCAUGUUUUUUCCUUUGUACUUUAAUGCUUGUUUGCUUCUCUGGCAACUUAAAAUGGAUUACAUUAGUAGUUAACUUUGCAACUCCAUUUAGAUAACUCUGUUGUGUUAGCUGAAUAAGGAAUUUUUGAAAGAGAAUUUCAGUAUUAUACAAUUUCAUUUUAUAUAACUCGGUUGUGUUAGCUGAACACAUCCUUUCUUACAUCUUGUUUCUCUUUUCUUCUAUUCCUAACUGCACUCGCACCUUACCGAAUGGAACACUCCUUCUGUUGACUAAGUAAUCCAUGUUUUACUUCUCUACUCCUAUGUUUGUGGGCUGCAGAUUAUCUCUGUUGAAGUCAACUGAGAGAAAUCCUCUGCCUGAGAGGAUUCUUGUGCUUCAUAUUACCCUUCUUUUUAACUAAUCGCCAACCACUCUCAAUCUUCUUUUUCUGGAUCACCACUACUUUUUCCAUUGAAGUAUACAUCUCACAUUUCAGCAGAAGAUGCAGAACCUAAUGCAUGGCAUGGGUUGGAAUGCUGUUGCUACAUAGGAAC